UUAAUUUAGCUCCUGACUUUUAAUUGCUAAAACAGUUUUGUUAUGUGCUACAGUACCAAAUACAACCUUGACAACAUAAUACUCUUGUGUAUUUAACAGCGGCUAUUAGGGGGAUAUACUGUAAAGUUAGAGAUAUCAUGCACAAAUACCUUUGCACAAAACAUUUUUAUGUGAGCAAAAAACAAAAAUAGUAAUUAAAAAUGUCCUUAAUAUGUUAAACAGUCAUAGCCCACUUUCAAAACUCCCAAAGCAACCGUUUGCACCCCGGACACCAAAAUCUGUGACCGCCCAUAAAAGAUAUAACCAAAUCAGCAAUGUUGUACAUUAGCAGCCUUAGUGUAAUUAAAUUGCACAUUCUGAGUAAUACUGUUUUGUGCAAAAGCCUGUAAUGAAAGUACAGUUUUACUGCAAUUUUAAUUAGCAGUGUUUGAUAAGGCAAACAUCACUAUUACUUAGAGUCACAGUUGGUUAUUAUUAUUUUAUUUAUAUAUAUAUGCAUGAAUUCAUCUCUCCAAGCAUCCAUCCUUGAAAAUGGAUACAUCAUCCAUCAACCACCCGCAAAACCCUAGCUUUCUCCUAGCAGCUGGAGAGCAACACCCUGACAAGUACCAAUAACACCCUAGAAUUCACCUAGCAACUGCAUUACAAUACCCUAAAAACUACCAGCAACACCUUAACAUCCAUCUAGCAACUGCAUAGCAACACAUCAGCAAAAACCCUCAACAUCCUAGCAAUCACCUUGCAACCGCAUAGCAACACCCUAGCAACCACCCACCCAAAACAUUUGCAACUGUAUAUAAACACUGGGUGAAUUCCAAAUGGCUUUUCUAUGGAUGUUCCAAAUGAAAGUGAACAAAUGCAUAAAAAAUGAAGCCUAUUUUAAAAUGUUACAUUAUUUUCAUGUCAAUGAAUCAUACAGUAUAACCAUAACAGAUUUAGUUAUGAUUUUUUUUUUUUUGUAAUUAUUGCCGCUUAUGAUUCUCUUUAUUAUACUAGUGAGUGACUUUAC
ensembl:lncRNA